rnacentral:lncRNA from 1 species
UUGGUAGUUAGGGGGUAUUUUGGUAUUGCAAUAAAAAACAAACCAGAAAAUUAAAAAAGAGGUUAUAAAUGUUAUUUUUUUGAGCACAUUUUUCCCCUUUCUUAUGAAAACAUGAUAUUGCCUCAGGCCCCUCUAAAACAGGUGAGGAAAUAGCAUGCAAGGCAGAAAACUUGGGAAAUGUUGCAACUGGUUAUACAGAGAACAAGUAUUCUUCACAUCGGGUUUUGCACUAUGCAAUGCCAGUUUGAGAUUUCAGCAGAGUCCUCUGGGAAUUUUAAUCCAGUUUUGGAAAUAUAUAAAUAAUGGGUGAAUCAAGGCCAGAGGGAUCCUCGUUGCGCUGCAUUUUUGAUGUCUUCUGACUUGACUGUGAGAGGAAGGAUUUUGUAGAGUCCUCUAGGAGAGCUAGAAAGAGAGUGGGUUGUCUUUCAGAUUUGAUGUUAUAAUUUUCCACUGUAGGAGGUGAAAGGUAAACCUGCUCAGAGGUAGACAUAUGCAAUGGAGGAAAAUUAAAUCUGAAGAUCAACAUUUCCAGAGCGAGGUCCACACUACAGCUGAUAAAUUUUAAUAACCUGUAAGCUGAAAGGGAGCACAAACUCAGAAAAAUGAGGCAGUUCAUUCCCUCAAGAUAAAAAAAAACACAGAACAACUUCACACACACGUAAAACCCCCACAGAGUAGUAAAUCCCUCAGAUUCUGAUUGAAACUAUGUCUUUAAUCUACCAGGAUCUACUCAGAAUUAAGUAUCAAUCAGGGAAAGACUUCACAUACUGCUGUGAAUACUCAUAUCCUUCUGAAGAACUGCGGAGUGAAUGGGCCACAUAAAAUUUUCUACCAAAGACUGUUUCAUUUUCCCAUCCCAGCAUUCUGCUAUAAGUAGAGGUAUUUACCUUAUCUCCAGGAGUAAGGGGAGAAAUUGUGAUGAAGUUGACAAGAGUUGUCAGGAAACUUCCUGCAGUUUUUGGAGAAGUCCCUCAGUUAUGCAUGGUGAACUGUCACAUGUAAGGCAAUGCCUUGGCUGUGAGGAAGACUAA